GACAACCAGGACUCUGUAAUGACACAAAGAUCUCUUGAAGGUCACACAUGAUCUCCUACUCAUCUUCUGUUCCACAAUGUCCUUGUCGUGCAGAGUGGUAACGUGUUCCACCGGAUAUCCAAGCUUGGGUACACGGUCUAGCUCCUACCCCUUGGACGGAUUAUGAUGCACGGCAAUACAGGAGGGA
rnacentral:ribozyme from 1 species